rnacentral:rRNA from 1 species
UACGGGGGGGGCUAGCGUUGUUCGGAUUUACUGGGCGUAAAGCGCACGUAGGCGGAUUGUUAAGUCAGGGGUGAAAUCCCGGAGCUCAACUCCGGAACUGCCUUUGAUACUGGCAAUCUUGAGGCUGGAAGAGGUUGGUAGAAUUCCCAGUGUAGAGGUGAAAUUCGUGAGAUAUCGAGAGGAACACCUGCGGCGAAGGCGGGUUGCUGGGCUGACACUGACGCUGAACUGCGAAAGCUAGGGGAGCGAACGGG